CAUUUUUUGUAGUACAAGUCAGUUAGCAGUGAAUUCUGUUAUUAUUUUUUAAAUCUGAAGACAUAUUUUUUUCCUUCAUUCUAGAAUGGGUGUGGUGGUGUGCACCUCUAGUCCCAGCUACUUGGGAGGUUGAGGCAGGAGAAUUCCUUGGACCCGAGAGGUGUAGGUUGCAAUGAGCCAAGAUGAGGCAUACAAUGUUGGGCUGGGAAGAAAAUGAGAGGUGAGGGAUAACUUGGGAAGUUAUAAUAAUUUUACAGUGAAUAACCGUCUUUUUUUCUGGUAAAAUAUUUCUUUCUUUCUUCAGCAAGAUGUCUGUAUCGGUUUGUCUGGGCUUCUGCUCUAAACU
rnacentral:lncRNA from 1 species